GCCACAGGAAGCAUAAUCAUGUGGACCGCAGCGGACGCUACGAGCCAGCACAACCGAUUCUCCCGCUGAGAGAGUGUUGGGUGACCUUCGGAUACCUGGACCUCGAGACUGGUGACCUUAAAGAUGUCAGCAAGGAUACACGGUGAUUUCUUCACCACGGGGCUGUGCAAUUUACUGGCAUGGAUCUAGUGUCUCACCUCGGAGAUCUCCAUGGCGUGUGAAAAGUGCCAAGGCUGGUGGGGCAAGAAGUUUAUUGGAAGGCUUUGUCAUGCCACGGUGAUGAACAUUCAUGACAGGCCCUUCUGCCGAACCAGCUACGCAAUAGAGGCAAGCCUGCUAUGCCACUGGGACAUGGAUGCAGUGCACUAGUCUACGUGUGGCACUGUGGACUCCUGGGGACCAGGCCAGGAGAUGGACGUGCAAUAUUUAUAUUCCGCGUAUAUUUAGUCAACCAAUUUUACUGUUGACAUUGACUGUUGACAAGUGGGACAUUCUGUUCGUGUGGCAAAAGAUAUGCCGGGUGUGUGGUGGGGUCCCACAAAAAAUAGCUAUGUUCUGUCUGGAGCAAUGUUCAUAGAGACAUGGCAAGUUGUGUCAGUGAUGGUCGCAGUUUGGGACAUGUUUUGGGUGGCUGCGUGAUGGGGUGCUGUGAUCGUUGCUGGACAACUGUUUCAUUGAGUCACUGUGGCAGUGUUUUCACUAGCUUGGGAGGCAGCAUGGUAAUGCAUAAACACAGUGACAGAUUUUACUUCGAACUAAAAAUGGUGUACAAGAAUAAAACAACUUGCUGCCUCAUCGAGGCAUGUCUUCAAAUGUGAACUAAUAUGUUGUCUUUUCAGUACCACCUUUUCCAUUUUGUUUCAUUGAAACCUCGCAGUGAGAGUGACUGAGAUAAUACAGUCAUGUCUUGGCAUUAUGAAUGCCUCCGAGUUUUCUAUAAUGAAUCAAGAUCAGAGACAA